AAGCUUGCUUCUUCUGAUUUAGCGGCGGACGGGUGAGUAACACGUGGGCAACCUGCCCUGUAGAUUGGGAUAACUCCGGGAAACCGGGGCUAAUACCGAAUAAUCCAUUUCCUCACAUGAGGAAAUGUUAAAAGACGGUUUCGGCUGUCACUACCGGAUGGGCCCGCGGCGCAUUAGCUAGUUGGUGAGGUAACGGCUCACCAAGGCGACGAUGCGUAGCCGACCUGAGAGGGUGAUCGGCCACACUGGGACUGAAACACGGCCCAGACUCCUACGGGAGGCAGCAGUAGGGAAUCUUCCACAAUGGACGAAAGUCUGAUGGAGCAACGCCGCGUGAGUGAAGAAGGUUUUCGGAUCGUAAAACUCUGUUGUGAGGGAAGAACAAGUACGAGAGUAACUGCUCGUACCUUGACGGUACCUCAUUAGAAAGCCACGGCUAACUACGUGCCAGCAGCCGCGGUAAUACGUAGGUGGCAAGCGUUGUCCGGAAUUAUUGGGCGUAAAGCGCGCGCAGGCGGUCCUUUAAGUCUGAUGUGAAAGCCCACGGCUCAACCGUGGAGGGUCAUUGGAAACUGGGGGACUUGAGUGCAGAAGAGGAAAGCGGAAUUCCAAGUGUAGCGGUGAAAUGCGUAGAGAUUUGGAGGAACACCAGUGGCGAAGGCGGCUUUCUGGUCUGUAACUGACGCUGAGGCGCGAAAGCGUGGGGAGCAAACAGGAUUAGAUACCCUGGUAGUCCACGCCGUAAACGAUGAGUGCUAAGUGUUAGGGGUUUCCGCCCCUUAGUGCUGCAGCUAACGCAUUAAGCACUCCGCCUGGGGAGUACGGUCGCAAGACUGAAACUCAAAGGAAUUGACGGGGGCCCGCACAAGCGGUGGAGCAUGUGGUUUUAAUUUCGAAGCAACGCGAGAACCUUACCAGGUCUUGACAUCCCGC
rnacentral:rRNA from 1 species